UUUUUUUUUUUUUUAAUUUUAAAUACGCUGUUUGCUCUGAAUGUUUUCAAACUCUUUUAUAUGAAAUACCCAAGACAUUGUGCUAAGUGUCCUUCCUGUGCUGCACUAUGAAUGUGAAUUUUUGGUUUUAUAAAUAAAGUUUUUUAAACAGCCAAUGAUGACAGGAGGGAAGAGUGACUGGGGUUCUGAAGGUUGUUUUGUUGAGUGCUGGCUGACCUUUUCUACACAGAAACGUACUGCAGAAAGACAAGUCACUACAGUCAGCCUGUCGUUACUAUACAUUCAGACACUAGGAAAAGGAUUUUAACAUCUGAAAUCCAGUCCACUAUAUGUUGUGUGUGUGUGUGAGGCUAUAAUAUGGAGGAGAGCAACACACACACAGUCAUUUCAAACAUUUUCAUUAUUUUUCUCCACAUGUCAUAAACCAAAAAGCGUAAGAAAAGAGCAUGCUUGGGCAUGCAAUGAUGUCACAACAUGAUGUCACAACAUGAUGUCACAACAUGAUGUCACAACAUGAUGUCACCGGGUGCCGAGUAUAAAAAGGCGUAAACAGAUUUUUUUUUUUAAGCUCAUUCAUAAAACUCUGGAUCGACAUUUUGAAAAUCCACAAGAGUUUAUUUUUUUUAAAGCUAGCGUUUUUUAAAAUGUAUUUGACACCGAUGAUGGUCUCUGCCUCAGCGUCAGCCACCUGUAGCUGGAUGAAAACACCAGGAGAGCCGGAGAGAGAGAGAGAGACUCACAAACUGACUGACACCAGAUUGAGCAGGCUAAACAAACAUGCUGAAAAACAUGGGGCCCCCAGCAUGUCUGGAAGUGACACUGAAGGAGAACACAUUGGUAUUCCCAAAUAGCACCCUAUUCACUAUAUACCAUGCACCAUUCUGGACCAGGGCCCACCACCUGUUCUCCCAAAGCAGUGCACUAGCUACAUAGGGAAGGGGGCUCCAUUUGGGACUUUGGACUAGUCUGGAAGAGACCCAGUUCUCCCUGUGGACUGUUCUGGAAGAAGGCCGACAGGGAGAGAGACUAAACGGUGCAUGCCACUUCAGGCGGGGUCAACCGUUCACCAUUCUGAAGGUCACCCCCCCCCUCCCCCUCCCAGACUGCAUUUCCCACGAGGGGGGUUUCAUCAAGUGAAUCAUUACAUUAAUAAAAAAUAAAUAAAUACGAGGCACUCAGCAUUCUCUCUGUCUGGCAAAAUGCUCAAAAGUAACAAACAUUUGAAUAAUAAUGAUACAUACAUAUAUAUAUCUAUAUAUAUAUUUAGAAUCAGUGUUAUAAUGUAACAGUCUCAACACUGUACACAGGGGCCUGAAUUCUCCCACCUCCAUAGUCCUGUGUGUGUGUGUGUGUGUGUGUGUGUGUGUGUGUGUGUGUGUGUGUUGUGGACACUACGUGUGUUUUGUUGCGUAAGUGAUAGGGGUUGAGAUCAUUCAUGAAU